rfam:Coccidioides immitis RMSCC 2394 supercont1.4 genomic scaffold, whole genome shotgun sequence.
GGCCGCGUGGCCUAAUGGUUAAGGCGCUGGUUUUCGGUUACUGAACCCACCAGCGAUUCUGCGUUCGAAUCGCAGCGUGGUCG